UCCAUCACUGUCAAAAUCACCACCAUCAUGGGAGGAUCGCUCGAGCCCAGGCUGCAGUGCACUAUGCAGAUCCGGUGUCUGCACUAAGUUUGGCAUAAGUAUGGUGACCUCUUGGGAGCAGGGGACCACCAGGUUGCCUAAGGAGGGGUGAACCGGCACAUGUCGGAAACGGAGCAGGUCAAAACUCCCGUGCUGAUCAAAAUCACCACCAUCCUGACUUCUAGCAUUAGUCUAGCUUUGCCUCUUCUUUGAGCUGU
rnacentral:sRNA from 1 species